CAGAAAAUAGUUUAAUUAAAAUAGUAAUUUUGGAGAUUAUUGAUAAAAUUUAUUUUUUUUUCUGA
rnacentral:tRNA from 1 species